rnacentral:sRNA from 1 species
AUCGAAGCAGUUUCCUGUAAAGGAAGAGGGAAACUAUGUUCUCGGGGAUCCGAAGAACGGGAGAACCAAACACACGUCGGCGAACAAGGUACUAGUACGCACAGAACAAGAGAUGGUCGAUUUGAUCGCGAAAGGCUUCUCGGUCCGGGUGGAGACGAAGACACGCCCGUCGCUCGUCAGGUUGAAUUUGUUCGUUGAUGGUAAGAAAGUCACUUGAUCGCACCGGACUUUGGACCGUCCUGUCGCUACAGGAGGACCUGGAAGCAGGGGGGUAGAGGGGGGAAGCUCCGCUAGCUGUUCAUUUGAUGGGGCUCUCACAUUUUUUGGCUAGAAAAUUUCCGGUAAGCCGUUACCCAUGGUUGCCGGAGCAGGUGAUAAAGCUCUGCAGGGAGUGAUCGUGACGGAAGGUAUGCUCGGAGCAGUCGCAGGUGUUGCAGCUGUUGUAGUAACCGUUUUGCAAUGGAUGUUCGCCGUUCGUAGUGGGCGCCGCCAACGAGACGUAGAGAUGACUGCAUGGGGUUCCGACGUCAUAGAGACCAUGGCUGCCAUAGAAACCGCGUGUCUUCCUAUUUCAACUGACGCCAAGUACACCCGGCAUGAGGUCGAAUUGCUUGGCGAACGGGCCAGCGCCCUCUUGGAUCGAGGCCGGUUGUUUUUUCCGAACGUGCGGACCGGGCGAAGCCAUCAGAACGACGAAGGUACUAGAGCGGUAUGUAUUU